GCCUCUAUAGCUCAGUGGUAGAGCACUGGUCUCGUAAACCAAGUGUCGUGAGGCUCAAUGCUCACUGGUAGGCAAAGGUUUUAUUGGUCGUGAGUUCAAUUCUCAUUGGAGGCA
rnacentral:tRNA from 1 species